UACGUAGGGGGCAAGCGUUGUCCGGAUUUAUUGGGCGUAAAGAGCGUGUAGGCGGCCAGGUAGGUCGGUUGUGAAAACUCGAGGCUCAACCUCGAGAUGUCGACCGAAACCAUCUGGCUAGAGUCCGGAAGAGGAGAAUGGAAUUCCUGGUGUAGCGGUGAAAUGCGCAGAUAUCAGGAAGAACACCAAUGGCGAAGGCAGCUCUCUGGGACGGUACUGACGCUGAGACGCGAAAGCGUGGGGAGCGAAUAGG
rnacentral:rRNA from 1 species